UACAGAGGAUGCAAGCGUUAUCCGGAAUGAUUGGGCGUAAAGCGUCUGUAGGUGGCUUUUUAAGUCCGCCGUCAAAUCCCAGGGCUCAACUCUGGACAGGCGGUGGAAACUACCAAGCUGGAGUACGGUAGGGGCAGAGGGAAUUUCCGGUGGAGCGGUGAAAUGCGUUGAUAUCGUUCGGAACACCGAAAGCGAAGGCAGAGGACUGGGUGCCACCUGACACUACUAGGACGAAAGCGUGGGGAGCGAAUGGG
rnacentral:rRNA from 1 species